rnacentral:rRNA from 1 species
AGGACGAACGCUGGCGGCGUGCUUAACACAUGCAAGUCGAGCGACAGUGUUCUUCGGAACAUAUGGAGCGGCGAACGGGUGAGUAACACGUGGGCAACCUGCCCCUAGCUCUGGGAUAACUCCGGGAAACCGGGGCUAAUACCGGAUACGAUCUUCCAUGGCAUCUCGGAAGAUGGAAAGUUUUUCGGCUAGGGAUGGGCCCGCGGCCUAUCAGCUUGUUGGUGAGGUAACGGCCCACCGAAGGCGACGACGGGUAGCCGGCCUGAGAGGGCGACCGGCACGACGUGGACUGAGACACGGCCCAGACUCCGUACGGGAGGCAGCGAGGUGGGGAAUGUUGCG